rnacentral:rRNA from 1 species
AUGCGACCUGCGUGGGGGAACCCUAAAGGGCUGUACUUCAGUUCGAUGGGGGGAAAUAUGUUUGUAGCCAAUCUGGAGACUAAGAGAGAUCGAGAUCGCAUCUGGGAAGGCGGUCCAUGGACUGUUGGCAAGCAUGCGGUGGUUCUUGUGAAAUUUGAUUUCAGGUCGAAUCCGGAUGAUUGGAAGUUCGAGCAGAUGCAGAUUUGGGCUAGGGUCACUAAGCUCCCAUAUAACCUUCGUUGUCCCCCAUGGCCGUGGAAGAUUGCGGAUUUGCUUAGGGAUGUGGUCAAGGUUGAUACUGAUGCGAAGGGGUUUGCAUGGGGAGAUGCCUUACGUGCUAGAAUUUGGAUCAGGGUCAAGGAACCCCUGAUGCGUUGGGUGCAGUUGGAAUCAGCUAGAACUAAGGAGGUGAUGUUCUAUGAUAUUCAGUAUGAGCACCUUCCUUAUUUCUGUUUCUCUUGUGGUGUACUUGGACAUGCUGAAUUAUACUGUCCCUGUCCCGCAGAGAGAGAUGUAGAGGGGCGGCUGCCAUAUAAGGAGUCGCUGAGGUUCUCGUUUCCGAAGAGGAACUGGGAGAGUGCACCACCGAGAUACCCAAAACAGUCCUAUGGGGCUACCCAGGAAGAAGGAGAAUACGUGGAAGAAGAGGUGGAGACUGGGGAGGAAGUUACCUCACCAAACAAAAAUACUAAAGGCAAUGUCAGCAGGUUUGUGUAUCAGUUCAAUGCACGUGGAGGAAGCAACGGAGUGGGAGGUUCACCUCCUCUCCGUGGACGUGGUCGGACAAAUCAUGGAGUUUAUAGGCGUGUCAGCAUGGAUGGCAAAGACGCACAUCCAAAGGGUACUUCUGGAGGGACAUUGAUGUUGGUUGAUCAGGAUACGUUGAACAAGAAGAGGCAUGGCAGAGAGGACGUGUCAAGUGAUUCUAGAGAUAGCAGAGACUCAAAGAAGAAGAAGGCUCAAGAGAUCAAUAGUGCAACUUAG